rnacentral:antisense_RNA from 1 species
CACACCCCGAGCCCUGCCUGCGGGCCCAGCCCCCCCAUUUCCGGAGCCUGCGCCCCGGACCCAGCGGGGGCUGAUCCCUGGGAAAGGCCUGGCUUCCUCUUCCUUCCUGUCCCUGCCCCACCUCCGCCGGGCUCCACAGCCGCCGGGAGCCCAGGGCCGAGACGGGAGGAGGGCACCCACCUGGUCGGUGUCACAUGCUGCUUCGGCCCCAGCGUCCCCUCCAGGUCCCGGCGCCGGCCGCAGUCCCCAGAGCCGUCCCCAGCGCAGGCCCGGCCGCCCCACCCGCGGCCCGCCCCUGGCCGCCCGACGGGAGGGAGGGAUCGGGUUCUCCUAGGAAGUUUCAGUAUGCAUUCUUAGAAACCAGAUAUACAAAGACAAGAUCUCUGCUUUCAAGAAGCUCUCAAUCUGAUUGAGGAGAGAAACAGGUAGCAAAUAAUGACAGCAGAGCAUGGUCAUUCAACAUUUAUUCAACCAAAAAUACUAAGUCAGCUCUAUACAAACUAAUGGAAGGAUACAGCUAUGCAAAUACAGAAGAACACUAAACUGUUACAUGACAGAUGUAUGAGUCUUGGAUAUGUCUUUAUCAGCAGUAUGAAAACUGACUAAUACAGUAAAUUGGUACCAGUGGAGUGGGGCGCUGCUGAAAAGAUACCUGAAAAUGUGGAAGCGACUUUGGAACUGGGUAACAGGUAGAGGUUGAAACAGUUUGGAGGGCUCAGAAGAAGACAAGAAAAUGUGGGAAAGUUUGGAACUUCCUAAAGACUUGUUGAAUGGCU